GUUAGCGGCGGACGGGUGAGUAACACGUGGGUAACCUGCCCAAGAGACUGGGAUAACACCUGGAAACAGAUGCUAAUACCGGAUAACAACACUAGACGCAUGUCUAGAGUUUGAAAGAUGGUUCUGCUAUCACUCUUGGAUGGACCUGCGGUGCAUUAGCUAGUUGGUAAGGUAACGGCUUACCAAGGCAAUGAUGCAUAGCCGAGUUGAGAGACUGAUCGGCCACAUUGGGACUGAGACACGGCCCAAACUCCUACGGGAGGCAGCAGUAGGGAAUCUUCCACAAUGGACGAAAGUCUGAUGGAGCAACGCCGCGUGAGUGAAGAAGGGUUUCGGCUCGUAAAGCUCUGUUGGUAGUGAAGAAAGAUAG
rnacentral:rRNA from 11 species